rnacentral:piRNA from 1 species
UGUAACCAAACUCCACAAUUCUACUUAACAC